GUAACGCGUAUGCAACUUGCCUAUCAGAGGGGAACAGCCCGGCGAAAGUCGGAUUAAUGCCCCAUAAAACAGGGAUCCCGCAUGGGGUUAUUUGUUAAAGAUUCAUCGCUGAUAGAUAGGCAUGCGUUCCAUUAGGCAGUUGGCGGGGUAACGGCCCACCAAACCGACGAUGGAUAGGGGUUCUGAGAGGAAGGUCCCCCACAUUGGAACUGAGACACGGUCCAAACUCCUACGGGAGGCAGCAGUGAGGAAUAUUGGUCAAUGGCCGUAAGGCUGAACCAGCCAAGUCGCGUGAAGGAAGAAGGAUCUAUGGUUUGUAAACUUCUUUUAUAGGGGAAUAAAGGUAUCCACGUGUGGAUAUUUGCAUGUACCCUAUGAAUAAGCAUCGGCUAACUCCGUGCCAGCAGCCGCGGUAAUACGGAGGAUGCGAGCGUUAUCCGGAUUUAUUGGGUUUAAAGGGUGCGUAGGUUGUUUUUUAAGUCAGCGGUGAAAGUUUGUGGCUCAACCAUAAAAUUGCCGUUGAAACUGGAAGACUUGAGUGUGUUUGAGGUAGGCGGAAUGCGUGGUGUAGCGGUGAAAUGCAUAGAUAUCACGCAGAACUCCGAUUGCGAAGGCAGCUUACUAAGCCAUAACUGACACUGAAGCACGAAAGCGUGGGGAUCAAACAGGAUUAGAUACCCUGGUAGU
rnacentral:rRNA from 1 species